GUGAUUUUCAAUUAUACGUACUGCUUCUUCAGUGAACAAAUCCGUGGCGUAUUGGUUGCGAAUGUCGUGAGCCGGACAAUCAUCUCGAUGCAAAUCGAACCCACUGGCAUUCUGGAAUAUUUAUAAAGAAAUAUACAAACCCAUCCGUAUCGGAUAUUUCCCCGACAUAAAUGCAGCUCUGGUUGGCGUACAUGACGGCAGUGUGUAAUGUCUAUUCAAUAUUAUCCCGUUGUAAGCCAGAGCAUCAAUGUUCGGCGUAAAAAUUUGACUGGAUCCAUGGAAACUUACGUCAUUCCAUCCCUAUGCAUUUAUAGAUUAAUUAGGGCAAGUGUGGACAUAUAAUAUGAAGAUGAUGAUGAUGAUGAUUAUAUACAGCGUUGUAUAACUGGUAUAGCGGUACAGUUGUCUUAGCGACUUUGAAGAAAAUAAUUAUUUGUUGUGUCGGUUGUUGUGAGUCAUCAUCCGAAGAGCAUCCUCAUUGACCAUGUGGGCGUUGAUAACAUAACGUGUCAGCCUUUAGUAAUUGUCUUAACUAAGGCUCUCAUUAAUUCAAGACAAUUUUAUACUACAGAGUAAUCAUAUCAAAUUAAAUAUGUAGAUAUAUGAAGGAAGAAAAUAUUUUAAUUUCCUAUUUUGUUAACUUCAAUUUGAAUUAGGAUGCCUGAAAAAAAUACUAAGUGGACCAGAUUGAUAAUAACAAGAAGAAAUAUAAUGAUAAUGAUGAUGAAGGUUAAGAUGGGCAUUUAUUUAUA